GAGAGAGAGAGGGAGUGAAACAGAGAAAGAAGAGAGAGAAGAGAGAGAAGAGGGAGGGAGUGAAACAGAGAGAGAAGAGAGAGAAGAGGGAGAAGAGGGAGGGAAGAGAGAAGAGAGAGAGAGGGGGUGAAACAGAGAGAGAAGAGAGGGAGGGAGUGAAACAGAGAAAGAGAAGAGAGAGAAGAGAGAGAGAGGGAGUGAAACAGAGAAAGAGAAGAGAGAGAGAGGGAGUGAAACAGAGAAAGAGAAGAGAGAGAAGAGAGAGAAGAGAGAGAAGAGGGAGGGAGUGAAACAGAGAAAGAGAAGAGAGAGAAGAGAGAGAAGAGGGAGGGAGUGAAACAGAGAGAGAAGAGAGAGAAGAGAGAGAGAGGGAAGAAGAGAGAGAAGAGAGAGAGAGGGAUGAAACAGAGAAAGAGAAGAGAGAGAAGAGAGAGAAGAGAGAGAGAGGGAGUG
ensembl:lncRNA